rnacentral:lncRNA from 1 species
UUUUUUUUUUUUUUUUUUAAAACGUGUUUUUAUUCAUAUAUGGAUAAACAACAUACAGAAAUUUCCUUCUACAUAUGUUUAAUUUUCCGAAUUGAAGGUAUUCCUAUUCUGUCUAGACGUAUUGCCCCACGAGCCAGUCUUGGGAACGUAGAAAAGGUGUCAUAUAACCUGACUUGUUGUUGUGGAUGAGAUACCCCCUCAUUGGACAACGCAUCAGCAACUGUGUUAGCCUCCCGAUAACAAUGUGAUAAACAAGUUGCGUCCUCCAAAAAAUGCCGAAUCUGUCUGACCUCCCUUGUAAUCUGCCAUGGACACUGAAUUUGACGAAGAAUAAUUCGAACUAAGGCCAAUGAGUCCGAUUGUAUACAUAUAUUCCCAAAUCCCCUUUGUUUACACGUUUGAAGACCAAUGAGAAGUGCCCGAACUUCUGCAUGGAGACUUGUAGUUUGUCCAAAAUAGGCCGAGAAACCAAAGAGUGGUAAUCCCGUUGAAUCCCUUAGAACACCACCACCUCCACCCAGUCCUGGAUUACCCUUAGAACAACCAUCUGUAUUUAGUAUGAACCGCCCUGACUCCUUUGACUCCCAGCGAAUAACUUUGAAGGCAACCCUUCCAACAGUAAAAUUCGGCAAAUCAUACAAUUGUCGGAAGGACUGUGAUCGGAUUGCUUGUUUGAAAUGAAUCCCUACCAUGGACUGAAUUUCCAAGAAAAUUGCUUGGCAAAUUGCAGAUGAUCGCAUUUGAGCACCUUCAAACAUUGCUUUAUUUCUUGCCUUCCAAAUUUGCCAACAAAUAAUAGUAGGAAUAAUUCGGCCCAUAAUCCGCCGUAACUCAGAAUCAUACGACCUCAACCACCACCCUACUAUACGAGAGCGCAAAGAAGUUCCUGGGCUUAAUCCACAUAAUCCUCCAAAAUAACUCCAAACUACCGACGCUGUGUGGCCGUUGGAGAAUAAAUGCUCAAUAGACUCCUCGGAUGCCGAAGGACAACAGAAACACUUGGACGGUAAAUGAAAACCAAGUUCACAUAGCCUAUCUGGUAUCGGUAUCCUUCCUCGCAACAAUCUGAACAUAAAAAAUGAAACUUUGAAAGGGAUACGAGGAUGCCAAAUCGAAGCAAAAACCAUCGACUUAUUUCGAGUCUGCCUAAUAUCUUGAAACGCUGAAUGUAUGGAAAAUUUUCCAGAUGUUGUAGGCAUCCAAAAGACUUCCACUUCACUCCCUUCUUCCGGAAUGGGUUGUUGUAAUAUGUAGGACACAUACUCCUUUGGUAUUGUGUGAUAUAAAAGGUUCACAUCCCAGUGACCAUUGUUUAUGAAAUUAUGGAAUGACAACUCUAGGUUAACUGGCACUUGUAAGAACAAAGCACCACAUCCUAGCCAGUUAUCAUACCAAAAAUGACACGCCCCCUCUUUUGCAACCCAUAACAUAGAAAACUCCACUUGUCGGCUCACAUUUACCAUCCUCCGCCAUAUUGAGGAGUCCUUAUUUUUGAGUUCUACCUGACAAGGAUGAAGACCUCUGCAGUACUUUGCUUUCAUGAAUGUCUCCCAUAGCGACGAUCUUGUUCGGAAAUUCCACCAUAGCUUGGAAGAAAAUGCUGUGUAUACGUCUUGUAGUCUCCGGAAACCAACUCCGCCCUCAUCAACCGGAUAACAUAGUUGAGACCAUCUUAUCCAGUGAAACUUUGAUUCGUUGAAUGAUCCCCAAAGGAAGGAUGAGCAGGUUUUUUCAAUGAUUUUAAACACCUUACCCGGGAUCACAGAUGCUGACAUUAGAUGCACUGGCAUUGAUUCCAAGACAUGCUUGAUUAGGACUAUCUUGCCUCCGAAGGAAAGUAACCUUGAUUUCCAUGAUUGAAUCCUCCCUAUAAUAGACUGGCACACUCCUCCAAAAUAUGAUGAUUUACAUCUUCCAAAGUAGAGCGGAAACCCUAAAUAAUAUAUCGGAAAAGGCUUGUAGGAAAACUUUGUGAUACGAUGAAUCACCCUCCGUCUCGCCGUUGACAACAUUGGAUGGACCAAGUAACAACUUUUUUGCACAUUAAUAAGUUGUCCCGAACAUCUUUGAUACGCCUCUAACACCUGCAUGAUCGCCCUUAGAGACAAGGCGGAUCCGUUUGCAAAUAUGAGAAUAUCAUCCGCAAACGCCAAGUGAGUUAUAUCUGGACAACCAUAUGGAACUUUGAAACUCAAAAAGCCCGAUUGCAGUGCAAGGUUGUUCAAUCCUCUAGACAAUACUUCAGCUCCGAUAAUGAAUAGCGCAGGUGAUAAAGGGUCACCCUGACGAAGUCCUCUCAUGGACUUAAAGAAACCAUGUGAAGACCCAUUAAUAAUAAUUGAAAACCAAACAUUAGAAAGCAAGCGCCAUACCAUAUCAAUAAAUAUUUCCCCAAAUCCAAAACUUCUCAGGACAUUGAUGAUAUGACCCCAAGCGACCCGGUCAUAUGCCUUAGACAUAUCUAGCUUCAUAGCCACAUUACCACCUCUAUUCCUUUUUCCAAUACCCGAAACCACCUCCUGAGCCAGUAGAAAAUUUUCCGUUAUAUUACGACCCUUCACAAAGCCUGUUUGCUGGGGGGAAAUUAUUCUUGGCAACAUUCCAGCCAGUCUAUCCGCCAAGAUCCGGGAAAGCAACUUAUUGAAAAAGUUACAUAGACUGAUUGGUCUGAAAUGAGAAAAUUCUUGAGGAUUUGACAUCUUUGGAAUUAGUACGAUCGAGGUAGAAGUGAUAAACCGAGGUAACUCUGCCCCACAGAAAAAACUGAGUAUUGCAUUAUGAAUAUCUUGUUUGAUCACUUCCCACGCAAAUAUAAAAAAUUUUCCUGUGAAACCAUCCGGGCCAGCAGCACUUUCCUCAUCCAUUGAUUUUACUACUUGAUAUACCUCCUCGAUCGUAGGCAGUGACUCCAGCUUUCCAUUGUCCUCUGGAGAAAUCAUACGAGGAAUUAGGUGCAACAUAUCUGAAAAAGAGUCCAAAGGACCCGUGAAAAGAUCAUUAAAAUAUGAUAUUGCUUCACUUGCUAUGUCCUCCUCCUUGUCCAUCCAAACUCCAUUGGAAUUUUUGAUGCAAUGUAUCAUUCCUUGAACACGUCUUUGCUUUACCACCGCAUGAAAAUACCGUGAAUUCCUAUCUCCCUCUUUAAGCCAUUUGACUCUAGCCUUUUGCCUCCAAAACUGCUCUUCAAUUGACAGUGCAUGACGGAGCUCCGCUUGAGCCUUAUUUAACUCAAUCUGGCAUUCGUCUGAGUCAUUUUGAUCAACCAUCUCCUCUGCUCGUUGUACCGCAAUUUCCGCAACAUGCACAGUGUCCAUGAUGUUACCAAAGAAUUGCUUGUUCCAUGAUUGAAUAGCCCUUCUCGUUGUCAAUAAUUUAGAGCAUAAGAUUCGCAAUGGAGAUCCAUCAACAUUUUGAUUCCAAGCUUGGCGAAUCACCUCUAAGAGUUCAGGUUUGGAUGUCCAAACAUUCAAAAAACGGAAAGGGCGUGGCUUAUUAUCCAACCUAGUUGCAAAUGAAAUCUUCAACGGAGCAUGAUCCGAAGGGUGUCUUGUCAAAUGGAGUACAGAAAUGGCGUCAGAGAGAUCCAAACAAGCCCCAUUGACUAAAAAUCUGUCCAACCUUUUUGAAAUCCGAGCUCUACUCCUCCGAUUAUUAGACCACGUGAAACUUGAUCCUGAAAACCCUACAUCAAAGACCCCAGCCUCCUCCAUGAAAGACAUGAAAUCAGCUCCUUCUGCUAUAGCAAAUGGACGUCCUCCACAUUUUUCGUGAGGUGCCAAAAUGACGUUAAAGUCCCCCCCAAUACACCAAGGAUGUAAUGUAGGUUUAUCAUUUAACAAUGAACACCAUAAUUCUCGACGCUCCUCCACCGAACACUUUGCAUGAACAAAGGACAUGAUAAUUGGACUAGGAAGCAACGGGUUUUGAACAUGUAGAGAUAUAUGCUGGUCUGAACUACCAACAGUGGAACAAAUAAAAGGACUACUAUAGAAAACCCAAAUAUCACUCGAGCAAUUAACAAAGACAAAAUCAAAUGAUAAACGAAGACGAAUGGACUCAAUUUUUGACACAUCUACUUUUGGUUCACAUAUCACAACAAAAUGAACGUGAUGAAACCGUACUAGUUUAAUCAAUCUUCUUAGAUUAGGAACCUUUGCAAUCCCUCUAAUAUUCCAAAAUAUUCCAUUAAUCAUGAGAAAGAGCAUGGAAUGAGUUUUUGGAUGAUGUCUCUGACCUUAAUUGUCUGUCGGAUGUAAAUCGGGCACGAACACCCUUUCCUCGCAUUUGUCGGAACUCACGGUCAUCCCUUUGUGGUUGAUCAAUAUUUAAAGCGUCACUUGAUGAUUCCAGCUGCUGCUGAGGUGGGACCACCAAUCUUGGAGACAAAUUGCCCGCAACUGCAUUGUCUGUGGAAACAAAAUCAUCCUCAGCCCCACGCAAGUCAACAUAAAUAUUGUCCAAUGCAUUACUUUCGGCCAUGUGAUGAUGCUCAAAUGUCAAUGAGUUGUCUGCUGGAAGAUGGGUCCCUGGUUUCUCAUUUGCUUGUUGCUUAUCCAGCUGGUCACUCAUUAUUGUUUGUUCCCCAUGAUGUGCAUUCGAUGAACCAUCCAUUUGCGAAAGUGCUUGGAUAACAAUGUUGUCGGUUUCAUCUCCCAUAGCAGCAACUUGGCCUUCAGCAAAAAUUGAACUUGGUUUGCUUAUGAAUGAGUCUUUAGGAACUGAUGCGUCAUCUUCCUCUUCAAGCAUAAUAGGACCAGCGUCCUCCUUCAUAGGAUUUUUUUCUGCCUGCCUUCAUCUCCUUCAACCAACAGUGGAUUGAGCUGGUCGUCAUUAUGAACUAUUUUAUCUCCUUCCUCGGCCAACAUAUCAGAACCAGCAGCUACCUCUACUGCAAUCUGUUGUUUUCCACCUUCAUGAAUCAUAUCUGUAAUUCGCACAUCCUGAGAUUCAUUCACAACAGCUUUUUUACGGACCGUUUCAGGGUGGGACAACUGAACGUUAUUCCCUUGUAAAAUUAAUCCUUGCUGCUGAUGAUGAUGCCGCAUUCCAUCCUCAAUCAAAUUCUUUUUGCACUCCCCUUGAGAAUGACCCAAACGAAAGCAAGAUGAACAAUAAGUUGGCAUGUUCUCUGGAACAAUACGUUGCCAAAAACCAGAUUCCCCUUCUACAGCAACCCAGACCCUAGACACGAUGAUUUUCGCUAUAUCGAUCUCAACACACACUCUGGCCACACUAGGACGUGUUCCAGCAGCCGUUGCUGAAUCCAAGAACAUGGGUCUUCCUACUGGUGACAAUAUGGAGAACAAAGAAUGUUUAUCAAAAUAAUGAAUAGGGAGAGUCGGAAGAGUUACCCAAAUCGGUACCAACGAAGACUCCCUAUGCACAUGGAAAUCCCUGGUCCAUCUGAAUACACGCAUUGGAUAUUUGCUCAAUUGCCAAACUCCUCUCGUCCAAAUUCUGUUAAAGUCUGCUUCAGCAGUGCAUUUAAUAAGAACAUGCCUGUAAUCCAUCAAUCCAAUGGAAACUUGGUCUUUCAGGUUUAAUGAAGCAAAAAACUUUCGAGUAGUUUCCAAUGAAGGUCGCCCGUGAGAGAAUUUUCCAACCAAAGCCCAUCGAAAAGGUGCCGCAAGUCUGUCCGCGUCUGCUUUUGAAAAAACAACAGCAGCUUCUCCCUUGUAAACUGAUGCCUGCGUGAUCUGGAUUUUAGAUACCGCCGGUUGUGUAAAGAGUUGAGAAAAAGAUUUUUUUCCUGUAGGAGACAUCCCUUGCCCCUCAGCCGAAGGCUGAAGGGCAGCCAUGGAUCCUUACUUCACUAAUACAAUUCAGACGAAGAAUGAAGAAGUUGCAGAGAGAAGUUCAUACAAAGAGGGUGAAUCGUAAUUCUUGCCACCUCUAUAUUUGACUAUCAGUAUAGUAUUGUUAGAUUUUUUUUUUUAAUUUCUCUUAAUAAAAAAGUUUUAAUUUCUCUUAAUUGUAGAAUUAGUUUUAAGAGACACUACAAACUACACACACACACACAUAUAUAUAUAUAUAUAUAUAUAUAUAUAUAUAUAUAUAGAUAAUAACACGUAAAAAUCACCAAUUACCUUCAAUCAGAUCAGAAGAAGACCAAUACUGUGGCAUCCAUGGCAUAUAUGCCUGUACUAAAUGAGUUUUUAUCAAGUUAAGCAUUAUUAAUUCUUAAACCAUUCUGAACCAGUAUGUGACAAGACUAGGUGCCAAGAACAUCACAUAAUUAAUCAACAUUAUUGAUUUCCAUUUAUGAAACUUGCAAGAAAUUUAGCAACAUGUUGAGAAGUACAAAGAUUUAACAUCAUUGUUCAUUUGAAUAAAUACUCAUCCAGGUAAAAACCUCUGACAUAGUUGUCUAAGCUGUUGUCACAAAGGAGAUUAUAAACUCCUUCACAACCUCACAAAGGACUUUAGUUUUGGGAAACUCAAAAGCGUCUAUUCCAUGAUAACCUCCUUCAACAAAAUUAGCCACCACGGGAAUACCCUCGCCUUCUAACAUUUUGGCAAUCUGAAAUUGGCGAUCAAACAAUGCAUCAUUUUCAUAUCCUGCCAUUAAAAUCUUCCAUCCUAAAGCUUUAAUCUGAUCGAAUUGUCCAGGUUUGAUGCUCAAAACUGGAUUAGAAAAUUCAUGAUCUCGGUCAGCACCUAAGGGCAAUGAAAGUUCCCACAAGACAUCAGUAACACAGGGCGGUAUAAACUUGUCAUUCAGAGCCCUCAACUCCGAUUCAGUCCUCUUUUUGCCACCAAAAAAUGCUUGGUGCAAAAUCAACCCUUUAAUAUUCAAAGGCUUUAGAUCAUCAACACAUGAAGAUGCACUCAAACCAACAUGAUAGGCAAUGUUUCCCCCUGAACUGCUGCCCAUGAGGAAACUGUUUGAUAAAUCUGCAUACUUUUCCAACCAUUCGUCUUGUGAAUUCUUGAUCCAGUGCAAAGCUUCCAAGCAAUCUUCGUAGGCUGCCGGCAGCCUGUGCUCGGGGGCAAGACGAUGCUCGAUUGAUACGAUUACAAACGGGACCUCGGUAGCUAAAGCUCUAUGAAAAUCAUCAAAACCGGUCGUGGCCACGCUGCCAAUCACGAAUCCUCCACUAUGAAAGUAAAUCAGGAGCGGAAGUUUCCUGCCCGGGAAGGAUUCAAGUGCUUCUUUCGGUAGGAAUAUACGGGCACCAGUGUUCUUGGAUUGGUUAAUGGGGACAUCUUUGACAAGAAGGAUAGGGCUGCCAUCAUAGGAGGAGACGGGUGUUUUUGGAUGUUCAAAUUGACGCGUGACUGAGCCGUCGGGGUUCCAGACUAAGCCCAGAUGACCAUAGGGAUCAACAUGAGGAUCAGCGAAUGAAAUUGCUGCAAUUGGAUCAGCCAUAAGGGAUGAGAAUUUUGACUGCCUUUUGGUGUAAGCUUUGGAGCUAGCGUUUAUGAGUUUGACGUUAUUUGAAGACUUGGAAGUGCACAGAAAGAAAGGUUAAAGGGUCAUUUCGUCAGUUCCUUGGAAUUCAUACAUUGCCACACGUUGUUUAUCAAUAUAAUUUAGUACGUCAUGAGCGGGGUUGAAAAAGCAGACACACAAGAAGCUCAUAAAAGCGCAAGAUUUGAGAGGAAAAUGACGUCUGAAUUAUCUUCUUGAUGGGUCCAAUUUUCUUCUUUCUUUUAAUUGGUUUAUACUUGUAUAUAUCUAGCCAACCACCUUUGCGUUCAAUUUAAUUGCAUAGAAGAUUUUUUGUCCAAUGAUAGGGGUGUGGACGACGCGAGCGACCUGGUCAAAAAUUUAGCAAACUCGAUCUACUCAUUCUGCGUAACUAGUUGAAUUCGAGCAUCAGUAGUAAUUAUUCGAGUACUCAAUGAAUUUAAUUAAGUAUUUAUAUUAUUUAUAUAUUAUAUAUUUUAAUUAUGGAAUGACUAGUAUGGAUCCGUAUUUUAAUAAAUUUACAUGAAGUAAUAUUUAGUAAAAAAAAUGAUGAAUGAUAAAAUAACAAUCUAAUAAAUCUAAAAUGUAAAAAAUUAAAAACAAGAGAAGAAAAACUCAAGCUCGUGUAGCUCGAGUUUGAUAUGGCUUGUAGUUUACUCGAACUCAAACGAAUCGAGUUCGAUCUUAAUUUUUAUUAUGUCGAGUAUAGUUCGAGUUCAAAUUUAUAUACUCGUUCGAAUUCGAGUUCAAGUUCAAAUAGCACUGAUAGUGAUUGAGUUUGAAAUCGAGUAUGAUGCAACUCAAGCUCAACUCGACUCGAUAGAACCCUAGUCCAACAUUGUAUCACCUUUCAUUAUAUUGUCAUUUAUCAUUCAUAAACACCUCAUUUUAGAAUUUUUUUUGUUUCCUUAAAUUGUAAUAUCUAAUAAAAGGAUAAAAAAAAAUUAAAAUACAACAAAUUAAAAUAACACUAUAUAAUAGAAAACAAAAAAAAUAAAAUAAAAAUUUCACAAACAAUCAUAAAAAUUUCAUCUCACUUUACUCUUUAAAAUUUGAGCAUCACUAUGGCCUCCAGAAACAAGCAUGAUUGUGGUCCGAGGAGCCACUUGCUGUGCUCUGGCACAGUUCGAUGCUCGGUGCUUUGUCUUAUGAUGAUAGAACAGGGGGCCUAGCGCCCGCAGCCUGGCGGUGGUUUAAAAGGUAUUGACAGCAACAAAACACGGGAAAAAAAUUCAAAAAACGAAGAAGAAGAAGAAGUUGUCAUCUAAGUGUGAAAUUAAAGUGGUAAAAGGUGAUUACUGAUAUUAUAUUUAAUGCUUGAUGUGAUAUCAAAUUUUGUAAUCCAUCACAAUAAUGCAAAGGAUAAAAUAGAUCAUACCCCCCGUGGCUUAGCAAUUUUUCACAUAACCCCUAUAUAGUUUCAAAAGUUAUAUAUAACCAUAUCAUAAUUUGGAUUAAAGUGUCAAAAUGAUAGAAAUGAUCAUUGUAACGGAAUCCAUAAAAUAUCGAAAUUAUCCUUAUUUAAAAACUAAAAUGCGUGAAGUGAUCAAAAUAUAUAAAUAUAAUAUACAUGACACUCUGAUCCCAUAUGAUUUUAUAUUUUACUAUAUAACCCCCUUGUGAUUAAGUAUUUUACCAUAUAACCCCCUUAUAAUUCUUGAAAUAUAUACAUAACCUCCUGUAGUUAAUAAAUAAUUUUCAACUAUACAUAGAAGUACUUUUGAUAUUUUAAUUGACUUCAUUAUGGAAUGCAAAUUUCGUCAUUUUGAUACUUUAAUCCAAGUUAUGAGGGAAUUAUGUAUAAUUUUUAAAAUCAUGGUGGGGUUAUACAAAAAAGUGCUAAACCACGGAGGGAUAAAAUGUAUUUUGCCCUAAUGCUAAUGAUAUAUUGGUGUGUUUAGAUUGAAAUGUUUUGAGAUAAAAUAAUUUGCUUCACAAAUCCCAAUCACUUUGCAUCUCACAUACAUCACAUCACAAAAAUUGCUACAGUAAUUAUUUCAAAUAAAUCAUCCAAAUAAACUCAUAUCCAAUCAAAUAGUGUUGUUUGUUUACAGCUUACGGGAUUAUUAUAUCAACAUUGGAAGCUGAAAACUAGAAUACGAAACUGAAGAUUGAAAUUUAAGUGAUAAAACAUUUAGGUUGCGUUUGGAUUGAGGAAUCUGAUCAAGGGUUUGAAAUCCUCUUGAAUCCCUCUAGUUAUUUAUAUUAUUUACUAAGUAUUUGAAUUUGAAAAUUACAAAUUAUUCUAGUAUUUAAAAUAUAUUUUAAUAAUUGUAUAUUGGAUAGUUAAAUGCCUAUUAAACAAUCCAAACAACUAAAGCCAUUUAGAUGGAUUUCAAAUUCUUCAUCAAAUUCCUCAAUUCAAACGAAUAUUGAAUUUACAAUGUCAUAUCUAUUAUAUCCAUCUGAUAAUCAGCUAAACUUGAGCGCUGAAUUUAAGUAUUCUAUUAUAUGGAUAUUAUUUAGUUAAUAUUGAUAUUGUUAUUUUGUUUGUUAAAUUACUAUUUUAGAUUUUUUUUAAUUCCUACUAUAUUCGAACACAAAAUAUGUGUGCGCAGGAGAGAGAUGGGGAGUAUGCGUGAAGAAAAAAUGUGCUUGUGAAGAAGAGCUCCACUUGCAUAAAAAAUGCUACGAGCUUUUAAAUUUUUUUUUGUUUCUUAAAUGCCACGAAUUUGCAUGAAGUAGGUUUUCUUACACUAUAUAAAUCAAACUAGUUUUGUACUCAUUCGUUGAACGGGAAUCGUCGAAAAAUAAUAAACUAUUUAGUCAAUUUUAUAAAAAUGUCGAUAUGAAAUACAAAUUUAAUGUAUAAUCUAUUAUAACUUGUCUUAAGUAUAUUACUUUAUGCGCAUUGUAAUAUAAAGUAUUCUUAUAAUAUAAAUUUGAACAUCUAAUUCAGUGAAUAAUAAUUCAAAAAUGAAAAAAAUAACAUUCAACAAUACCAUAACAUUCCCGUACGGGUUUAUAUUUGACCGUACGGGUUUAUAGGAAUUUACAAACCCGUGCUCAAAUAGAAAUUUAUAUUUGACGUACAGGUCAAAUACAUAUAGUUAAUUGGAUUCAAUUAACUUUUUCUUUUCCAUAAAUUUCGUGCUAUGCACUAUGUCUUGAUAAUGUACUUAAUAAUAAAAUUUAUUAAGAAUCCUAUUUCCAACAUCAGAUAUUGACUUCUAUUAUUAAUGGUUCCUUUUGAAAUUAGUUACUUUUCUACUUCUUGUAGUGACAACAAUUCUUAUUUACUUCGGUUCCCUAUGCAGUACACAAAUUGUUGGCAUGAAUUUGGAGAUAUAUCUAAUAGAGAUAUUUAUGUCUCUUUUAUGUAUAUCGUAUUACUUUCCAGUUCCUUUUUAGGGUAGCGAAUGGAAAUCAUAUAAUAUUAAGAUUUCUUAUAGGAAGUAAGAAUUGAUAUACAUCCAAACAAAAAAUGAGCAAGCCACGUCGGAAAUUACUUGCCAUCUCGUUAAGCCACGUAGGAAAAAGAAAAUAUGAAAGGAUAAGAAUGAGAAUACGACUUUAUUAUAUAUAUAUAUAUAUAUAUGAUUACAAAUGGACCCAAAAAUAGGUGAUCGGAAUUGCUCAACCCAAAAUACAUGAAUACGGUAAUCCAUGGCCUUUUUAAGGUUUUUGAAAGCAGCAUUUGGUCGAAGAUUUAUUUUUUUUUUUAGUAAUUUUUUUCAGCACGAAAGAGGUGGAAUUUUAGAAGUGAGGAUGGAACAAGAUAUUAGAACCCAAAACCUCUAUAAUCCUCAAUCCUCAAAAUAUAAUCCUCUCACAUAAACAUUUUAUAUAAAGCUUAAUGCAUAGUCUAUCAAUUUAAAUUCUGAUUUCUUAAUUUUUUAUUUAGUGAAGUUUUCAAGUCAAGCACCGGAUACCACCAAUUGCCUCCAAUGAGAGAACCGAUCUACGGUAGCAUCCAUGCCCACAGCCCUGGUGCCAAGAACAUCACAAAAGUAAUCAACAAUAAAUUUUCAUUUAUGAAAAUUGACACAAGAAAUUAAACAGUAUUUUGAGAAGUACAAGAUUAAACAUCGUUGCUAAAAUUAGUUUUCUAAGCUGUUUUUACAAAGGAGAUCAUAAACUCUUUCACAACCUGACACAGAACCUUAAGUUUAGGAAGCUCAAAACCAUCAAUACCAUGAUAGCCUCCUUGUGCAAACUUAGCCACUAAAGGUACACCCUCGUCUUCCAACAUUUUUACAAGCUCAGCUUGACUAUCAAACAACGGAUCACCAUCAUAGCCAGUCACCAAAAUCUUCCGUCCCAAAUCUUUAAUAUGAUCGAAUUGUCCGGGUUUGAUGCCCAAUACUGGAUUGCAAAAUCCAUGAUCUCGGUCAGCGCCUACGGGCAAUGAAAGUUCCCACAUGAUGUCACUAACACAGGGUGGUAAAAUCUUGUCAUUUACAGCCCUCAACUCCGAAUCCGUCCUCUUGUUGCCACCAAAGAAUGGUUGGUGCAAAAUCAAGCCUUUAAUGUUCAAAGGCUGAAGAUCAUCAGCAGAAGAAGUUGCACUAAGACCAACAUGAUAGGCUAUGUUUCCUCCUGCACUAGUGCCCAUGAGGAAACUGUUUGAUAAAUCUGCAUACUUUGUCAACCACUCGUCUUGAGAAUUCUUGAUCCAGUGCAAAGCUUGAAGGCAAUCUUCAUAGGCUGCCGGCAGCUUAUGCUCCGGUGCAUUUCAAUACUCGAUUGAUACUAGGAUAACUGGGAUUUCAGUGGUAAAAUUUCUAUAGAAAACGUCAAGAAAGUGCGUGGCCGCACUGCAGAUUACAAAUCCUCCACCACGAAUGUAGAUCAGCAGAGGAAGUGUCCUGCUCGGAGAUGAGUCAACUAAUUCUUUUGGAAGGAAUACGCGGACCCAGUGUUUUUGGCUUGGUUAAUGGAGAUGUCUUUAACAAGAAGACUGGAACUGCCAUCAUAGGAAGAGACAGGUGUUUCUGGAUACUCAAAUUGACGGGUGACUGAGCAAUCAGCGUUCCGGACGAAGCCCAGAUAGCCAUAGGGAUCAGCAUUAGGAUCAGCCUGGACAAAAACUGCCGCAGUUUGAUCAGCCAUUGGUCAAUUAGUGCCUUUUGGAAGAAAAUUGAAAAACCUAGGGUUCAUGAAGCUACAUUCUGUCCGAAUUUUUAGGUCCUAGAUAGAGGCCGAAUUGGCCUUAGCUUAAACCAUGAAAGUUGUAGGGAAUGACAUUUUAGAGGUGCCUACAAAAUUUCAGGUCAAUCGGAGUAGUGUAGAAUGAGAUAAUUCGAAAUUACUAUUGCUGUUCUGGUUUUACCCGAAUGCAAGAAUUGCGCCUGUAAUUGGUUGUUUUGGCUGGAAUUGCUUCCGAAUUGGUUGUUGAGGUUUUCUGAUGAAAUGUAUCCCUGUUUCUUAGCUUUCAACUGGUUUUGGAAUUUCUGGAUUUGGACUUGGAGAGCCUGAGUUAUGAUGUUUCCGCUAGAAUGCGUUUUGGUGAAUCUGUUUUACGUUUUUGAUGUAGUAUCUUGCAUUUUUGACCUGUUUGCACUCAAAACUGGGUUGAGUGACCUUCUGUUGUAGCCCUGUCUUUUAGCUUCGAAAUGGUGGGUCUUGCACCCUCAUCCGAUAAUCGUAGUGAAAUUGGUGCCAUUACCGCAAAACGAGGACAAAAACUGUUUUUUUUAGGGCCAAAGCUAAUUGCAUUUCCGAAUUUUCUGGUUUCCUUUAAUGUUUGUGUAUGCUUAGGGAACCCUGUUUUGGUAGUAUAUAGAAUUGGUUUAUGACUUGUAAUCGAGUUUUAUUGUGUUCAUUUAAAUAGUUUAGGGUUUGACUUUCAUAUCCGAUUAUUUCCUAGCUAAAUUUUGUACUUGAAUGCCAUUAAGCCUAGUGAACGGCUUUUGGGAAUGAGAUUAUUUUUGUACAAGAUGUUGGGACUGAUUUGAGGAAAUAAUGAAGCCAUGAUGGCUGGAAAAUAGGUAAACACAAGGGAUAUGCUGCCGAAAUUUUACUUGAAGGCUAGUUGGAUUUACUUGUGUUUUGAACGAAGGGCUUUUGGGUUGUUUGAGCCUAGGUCUUCAUGUUACCUUUUCGUUACCAAAAAUCAUGUUUUGCACCUUGCUUUAGUAAUUAUUUGGCGAGGCAUACGACUGGUAGUCGAGCCUCACAUGUGCAUUCUGUAUACUCAAUUUUGAAAGUGGAACCUUCAAUUGUUUUCCUUGGAUUAUUUUAGGGUUUAUGGGCGAUUAAAGCUCUCUUUUGGGAGGUAUCUGCACUGACCCUGGUGAGUGUACUACUCACUUGUGUGUUACUAUAUGGCUAUGAAUGUAAAUUGCAUGAAGUGAAUUGAAUGUGACUUGAUUGAAGUGAAAGUGUACUUUAUCACUCCCACUUAUAUGCCUUAUAUCAUUGUUGUCAUGUUAUUGGAAUGUUACAUGAAAUGUUACAUGAAAUGAAAGUACUUGACUUGGUGUCGAUCGGACGAGUAUCCAACGACUACAAAUGUUAUCAUUGAACUCAACCCCAUUGGUAGUUGAUUGAAUCGAGCCGGCAAGGGCUUGGUCGUGACAAUUAAUGAGCCUUGGGUAAAGUUAUAAGGAAUCUUGUAGUAUGAGAGACUCUCGAUUCCGGUAUACUCGAGUAAUACCACAAUGCAAGUGUUUGGAGUGCGGGCCCGGUAGGGGGAUGUUAGGUGGAAGGAAUGGGAGAGAAGUGGAGUCUACGGUUGGUUACUUUUGAACAUUGACGGAGAGUCAAUGACGUCCGAUCAAGAAAUGCAAACGAGGAAAGGGCUCUUGAGAGCCAUCUGUAUCCUUUUAUCACCAUAUUUGAAGUGUGCCUUUGCUUAUUUUUACUAAAUUGAAUGAAAGCUUGAUGCUUAUAUGCACUUGGGUGCGUAAGUGAUAGUAUCUCACUGGGCAAUUAGCUCACACCGUUCUUUUGUUUUCCUUACAGGAAUAUGACUCUUUUUGGAAUGAAUCUUGAUAGAUGGUUGCCGAAUGAACUAGAUGUAUAUCUCUUUUGUAUUGUAUAUGAAGUGAAACCCUAAAUGUAUCUUUAGGGCCGUUUUCACUUUCAAUUUGGCAAACCGUGUAUAUAUUAACUUUUGAAAACUUUUGUAUGUCACUUUGGAUUGAAUUUGAUAAAGUUCAAGAUGUGAAUGUUUGUUUGAUAUUUGGUUGCGUUCGGACGGGUCGGUUACUAUUCAUGGCCGACUCCGAAUUUCAUUUUUUUUUAUUUUGGGUUACUUUGCCCUUUUGCCUUGUUUACGCGCGUUAUAAGUUACGGAACGCAAUAGAUCGCUCUAAACUGCACCGUUAGUCCUGGCGAGAGCUGGGCAGGCAGUCCGCUAACCCCUUUGGUUCGCCUUAGGGGAAGGUGGGGCUAUCACAGUUGGUAUCAGAGCCUGCUUCGCGUGGUCUCUGCGCGGAGUGAGCCUGGACUGAGUGGUGAAUAGGUAUGAAGGAUUAAGUGCUCGUUCGAGCAUAAGCUAUGAAUUGUGAACGUUAUAGGCCUUAAAUGUUUCGUGUGAUAUUUGAGGAACAUAGAUAGGUACGUCAUGGAGGAAUUUCGAUUUGUAGAUGGUUUACUCUUGGGACUGGCCAACUCGAGAUGUGAACUAUCUUAUUUCGGAUUCUCGUGCCCGAGUACUCCAGAAUCGAGGCGAUGCAAGCUACUAGGUAUUUGAGCCUUGUAUUUUGGAAACGAGUCUUGUAUUUUGGAAACGUGAACAGGCUUUGUCUGACUAGAAUGAGCACAAGAGAUCAAUGGACAUCUAGUUUGGAUAGUAAGUGACGUGAGAGACCAGACGGGCUGAUACUAGGACGACUUCACCUUUUCCUUUUGGUUCGUCCGUAUACUACUACCACCUGACGUUAGUAUCUGUGCUUGUAUAUGUGCUUGUAUACAUGGUUAUCUGUCCAACUUGAUAUGUAUUUGCGUACUUGCUUAUCCGUCUUUUAAUAUGGCGUGUUAUGUGCGAUAUGUUAUUUGUGUACUUGGUAUGAUAGAUAUUGUUAUUUUAGUCAAUGCAUUGCAUUCAUGCAUUAAAAUACCCUUUUGGAAAGAAAAGAGAGAGGGAUGAAAAAAAAAAAGAAGAAAGACGUAGUCGCGGACAUGGUCAUAGUAGUGAAACAAAACGAGACCAAGGGUUAAGAGAAGAAAGGGAGGAAACAACAGCUGAACCAAACAUGGACCAAGAGUGCCACUUGUAUUCAAGACUUUAUUAUGACCCAUUGUUUUGCCGACAAGCUACCAUUUGAGGUCCAGCAAUUCUGUGAAAUGGCACGUUGGGUUGAGAUGUAUAAGGAAAUCGCGGUUCUUCGAGACGAAAUAGAAGUCCAAAAGAAACUAGUCGCAUACUGGGAAGGUGACAAGUGUCACCAUUUGAGAGGUUGAACCUUAAGACCACUAUUCAUGGUCUUACCAUUUGACUUAAAUAAACCAAAAAUGACCCAAAAAUCAUCAAAAUAUCCACCAUGGUGGCCGAGCUUCUUGAGCAACAAAAGAAAGAAAGCUCUUCUAGAUUUUAGUUUCAAUCUUGCUUCAAUCAUCAAAACCAAUCAUCCAACCUUGAUUUUCCUCCAUAAAACACUUUCAAGUAGUGUUUGUGAGUUGUUGUGUGAAUUUAUUUGGGAAGUUAAGGUGACCAAUAGCUCUCUCUCUCUUGUGUUAAAGGUAAGUUGUGAAGAACCACCCUCCUCCCUUAAUUGAUGCUUAAAUCAUGCUUAGUGGUUGUAUGAGAUGCAAAUUUAUGGGUUAUUUCUUGAUUUGUGAUUGAAAUGAUGAAAUUUUAUUAUUUUUGGGGAUUUUUCUGUUUUAAUAUAAGCAUGAUUGUGUGGCUAUCUAUGAUGAUUAGAAAUGGUAUAUAAGGCAUCUAGAAGGUGGAAAAAGUGGAAGAUUGCAAGUAAUUUCUGUUUUGGAAGAAAAUUGAAAAACCUAUGGUUCAUGAAGCUACACUCUGUCCGAAUUUUUAGGUCCUAGAUAGAGGCCGAAUUGGCCUUAGCUUAAACCAUGAAAGUUGUAGGGAAUGACAUUUUAGAGGUGCCUACAAAAUUUUAGGUCAAUCGGAGUAGUGUAGAAUGAGAUAAUUCGAAAUUACUAUUGCUGUUCUGGUUUUACCCGAAUGCAAGAAUUACGCCUGUAAUUGGUUGUUUUGGCUGGAAUUUCUUCCGAAUUGGUUGUUGAGAUCUUCUGAUGAAAUGUAUCCCUGUUUCUUAGCUUUUCAUUGGUUUUGGAAUUUCUGGAUUUGGACUUGGAGAGCCUGAGUUAUGAUGUUUCCGCUAGAAUGCAUUUUUGUGAAUCUGUUUUACGUUUUUGAUGUAGUAUCUUGCAUUUUUGACCUGUUUGCACACAAAACUGGGUUGAGUGACCUUCUGUGAUGUUGUAGCCCUGUCUUUUAGCUUCGAAAUGGUGGGUCUUACACCCUCAUCCGAUAAUCGUAGUGAAAUUGGGGCCAUUACCGCAAAACGAGGACAAAAACUGUUUUUUUUAGGCCCAAAGCUAAUUGCAUUUUCGAAUUUUCUGGUUUCCUUUAAUGUUUGUGUGUGCUUAGGGAACCCUGUUUUGGUAGUACAUUGAAUUGAUUUAUGACUUGUAAUCGAGUUUUAUUGUGUUCAUUUGAAUAGUUUAGGGCUUGACUUUCAUAUCCGGUUAUUUCCUAGCUAAAUUUUGUACUUGAAUGCCAUUAAGCCUAGUGAACAGCUUUUGGGAAUGAGAUUAUUUUUGUACAAGAUGUUGGGACUGAUUUGAGGAAAUAAUGAAGCCAUGAUGGCUGGAAAAUAGGUAAACACAAGGGAUAUGCUGCCGAAAUUUUACUUGAAGGCUAGUUGGAUUUACUUGUGUUUUGAACGAAGGGCUUUUGGGUUGUUUGAGUCUAGGUCUUCAUGUUACCUUUUCGUUACCAAAAAUCAUGUUUUGCACCUUGCUUUAGUAAUUAUUUGGCGAGGCAUACGACUGGUAGUCGAGCCUCACAUGUGCAUUCUGUAUACUCAAUUUUGAAAGUGGAACCUUCAAUUGUUUUCCUUGGAUUAUUUUAAGGUUUAUGGGCGAUUAAAGCUCUCUUUUGGGAGGUAUCUGCACUGACCCUGGUGAGUGUACUACUCACUUGUGUGUUACUAUAUGGCUAUGAAUGUAAAUUGCAUGAAGUGAAUUGAAUGUGACUUGAUUGAAGUGAAAGUGUACUUUAUCACUCUCACUUAUAUGCCUUAUAUCAUUGUUGUCAUGUUAUUGGAAUGUUACAUGAAAUGUUACAUGAAAUGAAAGUACUUGACUUGGUGUCGAUCGGACGAGUAUCCAACGACUACAAAUGUUAUCAUUGAACUCAACCCCAUUGGUAGUUGAUUGAAUCGAGCCGGCAAGGGCUUGGUCGUGACAAUUAAUGAGCCUUGGGUAAAGUUAUAAGGAAUCUUGUAGUAUGAGAGACUCGAUUCCGGUAUACUCGAGUAAUACCACAAUGCAAGUGUUUGGAGUGCGGGCCCGGUAGGGGGAUGUUAGGUGGAAGGAAUGGGAGAGAAGUGGAGUCUACGGUUGGUUACUUUUGAACAUUGACGGAGAGUCAAUGACGUCCGAUCAAGAAAUGCAAACGAGGAAAGGGCUCUUGAGAGCCAUCAGUAUCCUUUUAUCACCAUAUUUGAAAAUUUGAUGCUUAUAUGCACUUGGGUGCGUAAGUGAUAGUAUCUCACUGGGCAAUUAGCUCACACCGUUCUUUUAUUUUCCUUACAGGAAUAUGACUCUUUUUGGAAUGAAUCUUGAUAGAUGGUUGCCGAAUGAACUAGAUGUAUAUCUCUUUUGUAUUGUAUAUGAAGUGAAACCCUAAAUGUAUCUUUAGGGCCGUUUUCACUUUCAAUUUGGCAAACCGUGUAUAUAUUAACUUUUGAAAACUUUUGUAUGUCACUUUGGAUUGAAUUUGAUAAAGUUCAAGAUGUGAAUGUUUGUUUGAUAUUUGGUUGCGUUCGGACGGGUCGGUUACUAUUCAUGGCCGACUCCGAAUUUCAUUUUUUUUUAUUUUGGGUUACUUUGCCCUUUUGCCUUGUUUACGCGCGUUAUAAGUUCCGGAACGCAAUAGAUCGGCUCUAAACUGCACCGUUAGUCCUGGCGAGAGCUGGGCAGGCAGUCCGCUAACCCCUUUGGUUCGCCUUAGGGGAAGGUGGGGCUAUCACAGUUGGUAUCAGAGCCUGCUUCGCGUGGUCUCUGCGCGGAGUGAGCCUGGACUGAGUGGUGAAUAGGUAUGAAGGAUUAAGUGCUCGUUCGAGCAUAAGCUAUGAAUUGUGAACGUUAUAGGCCUUAAAUGUUUCGUGUGAUAUUUGAGGAACAUAGAUAGGUACGUCAGGGAGGAAUUUCGAUUUGUAGAUGGUUUACUCUUGGGACUGGCCAACUCGAGAUGUGAACUAUCUUAUUUCGGAUUCUCGUGCCCGAGUACUCCAGAAUCGAGGCGAUGCAAGCUACUAGGUAUUUGAGCCUUGUAUUUUGGAAACGAAUCUUGUAUUUUAGAAACGUGAACAGGGUUUGUCUGACUAGAAUGAGCACAAGAGAUCAAUGGACAUCUAGUUUGGAUAGUAAGUGACGUGAGAGACCAGACGGGCUGAUACUAGGACGACUUCACCUUUUCCUUUUGGUUCGUCCGUAUACUACUACCACCUGACGUUAGUAUCUGUGCUUGUAUAUGUGCUUGUAUACAUGGUUAUCUGUCCAACUUGAUAUGUAUUUGUGUACUUGCUUAUCCGUCUUUUAAUAUGGCGUGUUAUGUGCGAUAUGUUAUUUGUGUACUUGGUAUGAUAGAUAUUGUUAUUUUAGUCAAUGUAUUGCAUUCAUGCAUUAAAAUACCCUUUUGGAAAGAAAAGAGAGAGGGGGGAAAAAAAAAGAAGAAAGACGUAGUCGCGGACAUGGUCAUAGUAGUGAAACAAAACGAGACCAAGGGUUAAGAGAAGAAAGGGAGGAAACAACAGCUGAACCAAACAUGGACCAAGAGUGCCACUUGUAUUCAAGACUUUAUUAUGACCCAUUGUUUUGCCGACAGGCUACCAUUUGAGGUCCAGCAAUUCUGUGAAAUGGCAUGUUGGGUUGAGAUGUAUAAGGAAAUCGCGGUUCUUCGAGACGAAAUAGAAGUUCAAAAGAAACUAGUCGCAUACUGGGAAGGGCGAUGGAAGCACGAGUAUUCAGAGAAAAUUGAGCUUUUACACAAGAACCUAGAGCUAAAAAGGAAAUUCGAAGGAAUUUCCGAGGAGGCCCUUGAAAAGGCUCAACGAAUCGAGAAUGCAAAGGCGCAAGUGAAAGUUUCCCAAAUACGGAAAAAGGUGCAGUGAGUUGCGUGAGUGAGGAACCUAGCGAAGCAGUGGCACCUUCUAAAGUACAGAAAGUGAACCAGUUAUUCUGGCUGCCAUGGACAUUGGGGGCGGUAGAUAAAAGAUUUAUCAAAGGAAGCCAAACCAGACAGAGGGAGACUUCUCCGGAAAGCAAAAAGAUGGCUUCCCACUUGACUUGUGACUAUUGCGGAAAGGCCAAUCACACUGAGAACGAUUGUUGGAGAAAGGGGAGAAGAUGUCUGUGCUGUGGGAGCGCCGAGCAUCGAAUUGCUCAUUGCCCGAUUAAAGCGCGUAAAAAGAAAGGAACCCAACAACCAACCAAGACCGACCCUGGAUCGUCAAGUGGAGAAGGGACUGGAAUAAAAAACCUCGUUUCUUCUGACUCUGAAGACGGAGAAGGUACAGGCCAUUGGUUACUUUAAAUUUUGAAGGAAAAAUUUCGAGGGCGAAAUUUCUUUAAGGGGGAGAGAGUGUGAGAACCCGUAAUUUUUCCAUUUUCUAGGUUUUAUUAUAUUUCUAGGUUUUCUUAUCUUCAAUGGUUUGUUUUCUGCACUUUCUGUAUCCGGAAAAUUUUCUAGAUAAUUUUUAUGAGUAAAUAUAGUUUUUAGAUGAUUUUUCUAAUAUCAAAUAGUUUUUGAGAAAUUAAGAGCGAAUACCGGACGUGGGACCCACUAGUGCGAAAAGUUCGGAAAAAUUCAGCCAACUAGGUUAAGUUUUGAAUACUGAAAUUAAUUUACCGGGUGUUAAGAGAUAAGUAGAGGGUGCUAAGUGGAUUGAUAUAAGAGAGACAAGGUUGGUGAACAUUUAUUAAAAGGUGACAAGUGUCACCAUUUGAGAGGUUGAACCUUAAGACCACUAUUCAUGGUCUUACCAUUUGACUUAAAUAAACCAAAAAUGACCCAAAAAUCAUCAAAAUAUCCUCCAUGGUGGCCGAGAUUCUUGAGCAACAAAAGAAAGAAAGCUCUUCCAGAUUUUAGUUUCAAUCUUGCUUCAAUCAUCAAAACCAAUCAUCCAACCUUGAUUUUCCUCCAUAAAACACCUUCAAGUAGUGUUUGUGAGUUGUUGUGUGAAGUUAUUUGAGAUGCUAAGAUGACCAAUAGCUCUCUCUCUCUUGUGUUAAAGGUAAGUUGUGAAGAACCACCCUCCUCCCUUAAUUGAUGCUUAAAUCAUGCUUAGUGGUUGUAUGAGAUGCAAAUUUAUGGGUUAUUUCUUGAUUUGUGAUUGAAAUGAUGAAGUUUUAUUAUUUUUGGGAAUUUUUCUGUUUUAAUAUAAGCAUGAUUGUGUGGCUAUCUAUGAUGAUUAGAAAUGGUAUAUAAGGCAUCUAGAAGGUGGAAAAAGUGGAAGAUUGCAAGUAAUUUCUGUUUUGGAAGAAAAUUGAAAAACCUAUGGUUCAUGAAGCUACACUCUGUCCGAAUUUUUAGGUCCUAGAUAGAGGCCGAAUUGGCCUUAGCUUAAACCAUGAAAGUUGUAGGGAAUGAAAUUUUAGAGGUGCCUACAAAAUUUCAGGUCAAUCGGAGUAGUGUAGAAUGAGAUAAGUCGAAAUUACUAUUGCUGUUCUGGUUUUACCCGAAUGCAAGAAUUACGCCUGUAAUUGGUUGUUUUGGCUGGAAUUGCUUCCGAAUUGGUUGUUGAGGUCUUCUGAUGAAAUGUAUCCCUGUUUCUUAGCUUUCAACUGGUUUUGGAAUUUCUGGAUUUGGACUUGGAGAGCCUGAGUUAUGAUGUUUCCGCUAGAAUGCGUUUUGGUGAAUCUGUUUUACGUUUUUGAUGUAGUAUCUUGCAUUUUUGACCUGUUUGCACUCAAAACUGGGUUGAGUGACCUUCUGUGAUGUUGUAGCCCUGUCUUUUAGCUUCGAAAUGGUGGGUCUUACACCCUCCUCCGAUAAUCGUAGUGAAAUUGGUGCCAUUACCGCAAAACGAGGACAAAAACUGUUUUUUUUAGGCCCAAAGAUAAUUGCAUUUCCGAAUUUUCUGGUUUCCUUUAAUGUUUGUGUGUGCUUAGGGAACCCUGUUUUGGUAGUACAUAGAAUUGAUUUAUGACUUGUAAUCGAGUUUUAUUGUGUUCAUUUGAAUAGUUUAGGGCUUGACUUUCAUAUCCGGUUAUUUCCUAGCUAAAUUUUGUACUUGAAUGCCAUUAAGCCUAGUGAACGGCUUUUGGGAAUGAGAUUAUUUUUGUACAAGAUGUUGGGACUGAUUUGAGGAAAUAAUGAAGCCAUGAUGGCUGGAAAAUAGGUAAACACAAGGGAUAUGCUGCCGAAAUUUUACUUGAAGGCUAGUUGGAUUUACUUGUGUUUUGAACGAAGGGCUUUUGGGUUGUUUGAGCCUAGGUCUUCAUGUUACCUUUUCGUUACCAAAAAUCAUGUUUUGCACCUUGCUUUAGUAAUUAUUUGGCGAGGCAUACGACUGGUAGUCGAGCCUCACAUGUGCAUUCUGUAUACUCAAUUUUGAAAGUGGAACCUUCAAUUGUUUUCCUUGGAUUAUUUUAGGGUUUAUGGGCGAUUAAAGCUCUCUUUUGGGAGGUAUCUGCACUGACCCUGGUGAGUGUACUACUCACUUGUGUGUUACUAUAUGGCUAUGAAUGUAAAUUGCAUGAAGUGAAUUGAAUGUGACUUGAUUGAAGUGAAAGUGUACUUUAUCACUCUCACUUAUAUGCCUUAUAUCAUUGUUGUCAUGUUAUUGGAAUGUUACAUGAAAUGUUACAUGAAAUGAAAGUACUUGACUUGGUGUCGAUCGGACGAGUAUCCAACGACUACAAAUGUUAUCAUUGAACUCAACCCCAUUGGUAGUUGAUUGAAUCGAGCCAGCAAGGGUUUGGUCGUGACAAUUAAUGAGUCUUGGGUAAAGUUAUAAUGAAUCUUGUAGUAUGAGAGACUCUCGAUUCCGGUAUACUCGAGUAAUACCACAAUGCAAGUGUUUGGAGUGCGGGCCCGGUAGGGGGAUGUUAGGUGGAAGGAAUGGGAGAGAAGUGGAGUCUACGGUUGGUUACUUUUGAAUAUUGACGAAGAGUCAAUGACGUCCGAUCAAGAAAUGCAAACGAGGAAAGGACUCUUGAGAGCCAUCUGUAUCCUUUUAUCACCAUAUUUGAAGUGUGCCUUUGCUUAUUUUUACUAAAUUGAAUGAAAGUUUGAUGCUUAUAUGCACUUGGGUGCGUAAGUGAUAGUAUCUCACUGGGCAAUUAGCUCACACCGUUCUUUUGUUUUCCUUACAGGAAUAUGACUCUUUUUGGAAUGAAUCUUGAUAGAUGGUUGCCGAAUGAACUAGAUGUAUAUCUCUUUUGUAUUGUAUAUGAAGUGAAACCCUAAAUGUAUCUUUAGGGCCGUUUUCACUUUCAAUUUGGCAAACCGUGUAUAUAUUAACUUUUGAAAACUUUUGUAUGUCACUUUGGAUUGAAUUUGAUAAAGUUCAAGAUGUGAAUAUUUGUUUGAUAUUUGGUUGCGUUCGGACGGGUCGGUUACUAUUCAUGGCCAACUCCGAAUUUCAUUUUUUUUAUUUUGGGUUAUUUUGCCCUUUUGCCUUGUUUACGCGCGUUAUAAGUUCCGGAACGCAAUAGAUCGCUCUAAACUGCACCGUUAGUCCUGGCGAGAGUUGGGCAGGCAGUCCGCUAAUCCCUUUGGUUCGCCUUAGGGGAAGGUGGGGCUGUUACAAUGUGGCUUCCUUGAGGUUUCCAAAAUUACACCUACCUCCGUUAUUGAUUUAAAAUGACAAUACUAACCUUAAUAUUUGAAUAAAACUCUCUUGUUGCCAUGUUUAUACAAAGGAUGGAUUUUAUAAUUUUUUUUUCUUUUUCCUUGUUAUUCAUUUCUCUUAUAUUUCAUUAGAAGUAUAGAAGAACUAUCAAUGUUUUCGCUAAUAUCUAUCCAAAUCAAACGUUAAACUAGUAAUUUUUUUUAUGACUUUUAAUAUCAUCCAAUUUCUUUGUAGUUUUUUUUUUUUAUCAAGAUCAAGAAUAAGUCAAUAAUAAUAAAAACAAACUAUGGUAGUUCCACCACUAAACUAAUUCAUAAACUUUUAUUAAAAAUAAUAGUCCAUAAAGUUAAAAAAUACAAGAUAACACUUUCUUCUCUAUCUUAAAAAGAAUCUAUAUUCCCAAUAAAAUACUAUAAAAAAUUGCUUAUCAUAGCAAAAGAUUUAUUGUUAUAGUUGAUUAUUAAAUAACAAACAUUAGAAUGAAAAACUUGAGACUCCUUUUUUUUAAAUAAUUGUGUCAAAUUACUUUACAAUUGUUUAGAAGAAUGAAUUAAACUUUAUAAAUAAGGGCAUUGUAGGGUAUUCAUUAAAUUUUUUACCUUAUUUUAAGGUUUGAUUACCAAAGUGUCAAAUCAAGGGAGGUAAGUGUAAUUUUUAAAACUUCAAAGAAACUAAGUGAAAUAGUCAAAAACCUCAGGGGAGGUUUAUGAAAUUAUCCCAAAAAGAAUUAUACUUAAAAAACAAUGGUGGACGCAAGUGGUACAUCUCUUCAAUAGGUAGGACCAAUUCGGAAGCCCAAACACCAAAUGAACAGCAUUGCCAGUCCAUCAACACUUCAUCUUCAUCCCCAAAUACUGUGAUAUUGACAAUUUCGAGACACGCCAAAAUAGAGAAAAGGACAAUGUGGGAGCAUACAAGAUUAAGCAGAACAAUCUACAUAUUUCUUAGGAUGACUAUUACCAGAUAGACAAACAAAGCUCUCUAAUUAACAAUGGAUUGGACAAACUCUUUGACGAGCUCACACAGAGCAUAAACUCUAGGAAGCUCAAAGGUGUCAGCGCCGUGAUAACCUCCUUCAGCAAACUUAGCCACCAAAGCCAUACCCUUCUCUUGCAACGCUUUCACAAAAUUAAUUUGAUGAUCCAACAAAGAAUCACCCUCAUAUCCAGUCACCAAAAUCUUCCAUCCCAAAGCCUUAAUCUGAUCAAAUCGGCCUGAUUUGAUGCUCAAUAAUGGAUUACAGAACUCAUGAUCACGGUCAACGCCAACCGGCAAUGAUAGCUCCCACAUGACAUCAGUCACGCAGGGUGGCAAAAUCUUGUCAUUAUCAGCCCUCAACUCUGAUUCUGUCCUUUUAGUGCCACCAAAAAAUGGUUGGUGCAAAAUCAGCCCUUUGAUCUCCAAAGGCUCAAGAUCAUCAGCACAUGAAGAUGCACUCAGACCGACAUGAUAGGCAAUGUUUCCUCCUGCACUACUCCCCAUGAGGAAACUGUUUGAUAAAUCAGCAUAUUUUGUCAACCAUUCAUCCUGGGAGCUCUUGAUCCAUUGCAUAACUUCCAUACAAUCUUCAUAAGCUGCCGGCAGCCUGUGCUCUGGAGCUAGACGAUACUCUAUGGAUACCAUCACAACUGGGAUAUCAACAGUAAAACUGUUGUAUAAACUCUCGAAGUAAGGCGUGGCUGCGCUGCAAAUAACGAAGCCUCCACCAUGAAUGAAAAUCAGGAGGGGAAGUUUCGUGCCUGGAGAGGAUUCAAUUGCUUUCCGGGGUAGGAAAAUACGAACAAAAGUGUUUUUAGAUUGGUUUACUGGGAUGUCCUUAACAAGGAGAACUGGACUCUUAUCGAAUGAUGAGACGGGGGUUUUUGGCAUAUCAAGAAAACGUGCGACUGAGCCAUCUGGGUUCCUGACGAAGCCAAGAAAACCAUAGGGAUCGGUCUGAGGAUUCCCAGGUGGAAAUUCGGUAAUCUUAUCGGCCAUGUUUUGGUCCCAACUGCCAAGAAAUUGAAAUUGUUUCCGCUUGGCUUUUGCUUGGAUUUAUCAACUAGUUGUGGGCAUUUAAUACUGCAGAGAUUUGGAAGAGUACAAGAAUAAAAUUGUGGCCGGCCGAAUUCAGGAGAUUCCUGUGUUCGUAAAUGACCAUUUAAUGUUGUACGAUGUUCGGUGAGAUUUUAGAAAUCUAUUUAUAAAUGCAAAACUGUUUUCCCUUCAUUUGCUUGGUAAGAAGAGAAAAUGGCAUGAAAACCUAUGCAUGGCAUGUCUCGUUGAUUGGCUAAAUCCGUUAAACUGGUUGAACAAAUGCAAAAUGCUCUCGUCUCCUCGGGUAGACAUGACCAUGGCUGCAGAACCGUCAAUUCUAAAAUAAAAACCGACACUUUCAAUUCUUCUGAAAGGUGGAUGGCAUCUGAAUCGGUCCUUAUUUUUCCGGAAAGGUGGAUGAUUACGGUAACAAUUUUGAAUCUUUGGUUUUGGUCCGAUUUCGGUUUGAAUUUUAUUCGAGUUGCAGUUUCGAUUCUUUCAGUUAUGAUUAAACACUUAUUAUUAUAAAAUUAAUUAUAAGAAAGUAUGAUAAUGUAUGUAAAAAAAAAUAAGAAUUUUAUUGCAUUAUCAUGUGCAAGAAAAAAGAAAAAAGGUUGCAAAUUUUAUAAAAGAAUACCUUAUUGUUGAUUAUUUUGGAUUGGUCUUGAACUUAGAUUAAUCAUGGAGCUUAGACUUACCAAUGAGAUGGGGCAAUGAGUUGUUUGGUUAGGAUUGAAGCCGUUGGUAUUGAGUGUUAACUAUUAAUACUAAACAUUAAAUUGAUCAAAUAUGUUUAAAUAUCAAGUGUUGUUUUAAAUUAUUUGAACUAGUUCUAAACCGUGGACUCCUAUUUCGAUUCAAGUUUGUUGAAUCUAAACAUGAACCUUUAAUCAUAAUUAUGGUUACGGUUCUGAUUUGGAUUCCAAUUCAACAAAUCACCGAUUCAAUUUUCUGGUUCAAACCUAAACUGCGGCAUCCCUAUCCCCGAUACAUUAACAUAUUGUUGACAUUGAAAGGGCUUUGGACCUACCGAAUGAACAUUUCAAGGUUGAAGUAUAAGACUACAAACCAUGGUACAGUUCACGGGGACGUACAAAUAGUAUGAAAUGACUACUUGACUAGCAUCGAUUGUUGGCUACUCUGACACGAUAUAAAAUAGUAAUAAAUGCUAAAAAAAAAGGGCAAUAUCUAAUUUUUUUUUUCUAAUUUUUUUUUCUUCAAAGGGCAAUAUCUAAUUGGUUUAUGUAAAAACUUGCAGAUCCAAUGCACAUGUAAAUUCAAGUACAAGAUAAAUAGUAAAAUUGGACAUUGUGCCUAUCUAAGUGGAGAGAACGAGAUUUAACACUUGAAUGAAAACUACAAUUUGUCAAAAGAGUUAUAUAAAGUUAAGUGUGUGGAGAACAACAUAUACUUCAGGGGCAAGAAUUCUAGGUUCUUUUAAUUAGUAAAAACUGUUUUAAAAACAAACUUACCUUCUAAAUUACUUCUUUAACGGUCUUGUUUGAAUUUUUUUUUCUGUAAAAAAUUUUUUACGUUUUCCGUAAACACAUUUUUUAAUCAUGUUUUUAUCUCACAUACAUCAAAUCGUUAUAGUAUAUUUUUCUACAAAAAAAAACUCUUGAAAAUAACAAUCUAAAAUUAAAAGCAAUUGUGUGUUGUAAGUUUCUGCAGAAAGGAAAUUACAUUGGUCGGAUUGAUGAGUUACAUUUGGACUCGAAUAUCUCCCUCAUUGUGAUUCAUAUGGGAGGUUGUGUAAUCAAUACCAUCAUAACCUCCUUUAUCAUAUGGGAGGUUUUCAUUGAAUAUCUCCCUUUUUGUAGACUUUACUGCUAGCAUUGUUUUAUUAAAAUCAUCUUCUGCUAAGGAUGACCUAGAUGAUUAAGAAAGUUCAAAUUUUCUUACUUUGAAUGACAAUUAAAUGUUUAAGACUAUGUAAUUAAUGAAAAGAAGAAAUCAAAUGAUAUUGACACUCCAAAAAAAAAAAGGCUCAAACAUUCGACCUGUCUUUUAUAUUGAGUAAACAAGUGUGCCCCUAAAUUAUUACUAAGAUUACAGCACUACCUCUCUACAAUUUCCAGUUUCUUCUUGUCUUUUCUUGUUUCUAUAGCUACUAGCCACCAGCCAUUGCCAUCAAUCAACCUUGCUAAUGCAAACCGAUCCUAAAACUUUGAAUAUCGUGACAACCCAAUGCUCAAAUUGCCUGCUUUGUUUCUCCUUUACUUAAAAUAGGAGAAUAAGGUGCCGUUUGGUAAAAGGGGAUCGAAAUCAGGAAUCAAAAUAAUUUCAAUUCUUGUUGUUUGGGUUACAUGUAUUAGAUUCAGAAUCUUGGAGUAAAUCAUUAAAAUUUGAGGAUUCUCAAUCCCCAACAAAUUGGGGGGUUUUGGUGGUUUUCUAAAUUUGACUCAAUUUGACUCGAAAAUUUCAAAAAAGAAAAGAAAAUAUAUCAUUUCAUCACUCUAUCAUGUUGGCUGAACUUUCAUGGCAGCACUUUAGCAUUAGAUUUCCUCUUUUAUCUUUUCUCUCUCAUCCCAUCUUCUUGAGCAUACUUUCAUUAUCAUCCUUUUUUUUUUCUUUCUUCUCUCUUCACUCUCUCCUCCAACCUUCCAUGGCAGCAGCCCUUUCCCAUCUAGUUCUUUCUCUCCAAUCUUGUCAAUCUCUCUUUCACUUUCCCUUUUCUUCUCUUUUCACUCUUCUCCUCUUUCCUCCAAUACUCCAUGGCAGCCGCUUCUCUCUAUCUAGUUAUCUCUCCUCUUUUUUUUUUAUCUUUUUGUAUAAACCUUUUUCUCAUCUCUUGUCAGUCACUCUCUCAUGCUCCACAUAUUAUAAGGUUGAUUGGUGAUGGUCAGGUGGUGAUUCAAGAGAAAUUGGUAAAGCAUGAAUACUUAAGGGUUGGGAAGAAGAAAGUAGGAAAAGGGGAAAAAAUAAAGAUAAGAAAAUGAAAAUAAGUUGAUUCCAAAACCUUAUAAAUAUAUACCAAACACUAGUCAUUGUAGUGCUACUUUUGAUCAAACUCCAUGCUGAAUUUUUGGACGUAAUUCCAAUUACAAUUCCGAUUCCUAGAUUUGAAUCAAGCGCCCUUAAAUAGAUUUUGCACUGUAUUGGGUUGGCGUGGGCGCGUGGGAGUGGGGUUAGCUGUGACUCAUUGACGGCAAAGUUUGGAAUGAGAUACACUAUUGAGACAGAAUUUAUUAAAAAAAAAAUUUAAAGAGCAGGCAAUGGGUAAAAGGCGAUUACGAUCGGGAAGAGAGAGUUUCCAAAAGGUAUCCUUAUAACUGUUGGGAGCUUAUAUGUCAGCAUAGUUAAUAUGAAUAAAUGUUGGAGUGUCUUAGACUUUGAUUAGAACUAUGUUUUCAGAACCGGACCGAGUAUUGACUCGGUCAAGCUCAGGGGUUAGGGGUCAAUGCGUUCAACCGGGUUCGAUAGGGGUUGAAUCGGAUGAUGUCAUAAAUAAAAAUUAUUUAAAAAUUAAAAUAUUAUAUGUAAAAUAUCUAAUAACAUGUUAAUAUUAAUAAAGAUAUAUUCAUAUAUAUUUGAUGUUUCAAAUAUAUUUAACAAGAAAAUACAAAAAAAAUUAGAACAAUCAAGUAGCAAUUUAUAUUAUUUAAUGAGCAUUAACAAAUUUAGAAUUAAAAUUAUGGACUUAAUUGAAAAAUAACACCAAACUUUAAGACAACAUUGAUAAAGUAUGAAAUAUUUGAGAUAUAUUAAUAAAUUUUAACAAUCUAGGGGUCAAAACAUAAUAUUGAAAAAUUUUGAGUUUUUUUUUUAAAUGCUUGAUUGAACUGGAAAAUCCGGUUUUUUUUCCGGUUAAACCCAAUUUUUGACCGUAUUUGACCGAGUUUUUGCUUACCCAGUUUUUAGCAUAACUCAGACCAGACACUUGGCCGGUUCCCGGUUUGACCGAUCGAAUCGGCUGAUCCGGUCCGAGUUUUAAAACAUAGGAUUAGAAUGCCAAUGUCAUUUGCCAAAAAGAAAUACGAUACAACAAAUAAUUCUAUAAAUGAUACUCAUUGAAUAACAAUUUUUCUAUCUAUAAGUUGGUUUGCCGCCUAACCAAAAAUGCUGACUCUGCCAUUGGUCUUGAUGCUUAUAACACUAGUAUAUGCUGACAGACAUAUUAUAACGAUAAUAUGCCGAGGUUCAAAUUUGCUGAUGGUGUCUUUCUACCAAAUAAUAUAUGAAGGAUAUAAAAAUUUUGGAGGCCCUUUGUACCAAAAACUUUAUUUAGUCUUCAAUUUAACUUUUGAAACUUAAUGCAUUCCAAAAUUAGUCUCGCUCACUUCACAUGAUCCUUAAAAAAAAGGUUAUUUUAGGAGUGAAUGAAGGCAAUUUAGAAGUAAAUUUACGAAUUCUCAAUUUUGAAUGAAAUAUUAGGUUCUUGAAGAACAUUGACAAAUGAAAUACAUUGUGGUAGGCCUUAUUUGAUAACUCAAUUCAACAUUUAAAUUUAAUAGAUUCAAAUCUUAAUAUAUUUAGACGUGUUUGAUAUGAAAAUUUGAACAUUGAAUUAAUUAAGUGGCACUGAAUUUCGUAGACAAAACUUGCUCUAAAAAAUAAAUGAUAAACUAUUCAUUUAUCACUUAAUGUGAUAUAUAUUCAAAUAUAUCAGAUUUACAACUUAAUAACUUAAUAACUUAAUGGAUUCAAACUUCAAAUUUCAAAUUUCAGACUUCAGUUUUCAGACUUUAGUUUUCAAACUUCAAUUUUAUCAAACGCACCCUUAACAAGGCCAACAUUGAAUUUACUCUACAAGGAUAAGAAACAAAAAGGAUGAUAUACAUAAUAUAUUACAACACAAAAUAACAUAGCACGGUUGAGUAAAUAAAAGGCAAUUUAAUUUUUUUUAUCAACCUAAGGUAGACUAAGUGCUUAGGAAGUUGUCCGAUGGUGUGUUUUGUUUGCUGACAUGUCAUUUGAUGAUUUGCUGAAAAGUGGUCGUUCUCCAUGAUUGUUGGCCUGUGGAUUGCGUUUGUGAGCCACCGAGCCCUGGCUGAAAAAAAUUAACUCCUUCAAUGGAACCCUAGACCGGACUCAUAGUGGUCAUAAUAAUAAUAAUAAUAGUAAUGUUAGGCUUGUAGUGCUGAUAGUAAUACUCUGCUUCCCAUUUUACCUAAUGUCAGGUUUUUGGUGAGGUUAGAGUGUGUAUUUGGGUCAAUGUGACAACUCCUGUUUUACCUAUUUACCCUUGUCUUACAUGUUUAUUUACUUUCUUUUUGUGGGUUGACUUUUUUUUUUUUUUUGUCAAAGUUUAGCUGUUGUUGGGUUAUAGAUGUCAAAACAAUGCUUUGUCACUGUGUAACUUUUCAGCCAUGCGUCCCUUCUUUGCCUCUUAUACUUUCGAACGUUGUCCUCCGUACGUCUUUGGAAGCUGCUCCAUACUUUCUGUCCUGGAUUUUGCAGAUGCUAUCAUGCUUUGUGGUUGGUUUAUGCAUCCGGUGAUCAUUUUCCCUCUUUCGUUCUGCUGUUUCAGCUAUAAGGUUGGUUUGCUCUUUUUCCCUCUGCUUCGUUCUCUGUUCUUUUGGAGCUUUCAUUUCUAUUGACCAGCUUCAGGGUAAUUAUCUCCACCAGUUUUUCGCUUUUCGUUUUAUAUGCUGUUUACUGCUUCUCCUUAUCACCUGUGGCAGCAUUUGCUAUUUUAUUCGCUGACUUUGUUCCUUUUUCCCCUGUUUCCGUGCUGGUGAAUGCUGAUCCAUGUAUGCCGUUGCUAUUGUGGUGAGCUCAUUUUAAAACAAAAAAAAUGGCUUUUCCAGCCUCUUUGUUUUCUUUCCAAUAUCUCAUCUUUCUGUGCUUGUCAUUUCCUCUUUUACAGCUUUAUUUGAUGUCCUUGUACUUGGGAUUUUCUGGCAUUCUCGUUCUUCCGAGGACGCUGCUAUGGAGCUGAUCUUCUGUUAUGUGUUAUGGCAGGAAUUUGGUUGCAGGUCAGAUGCUUGUUUCUUUGUUUUGCUUGGCUUUUUCCUCCUUCUGGCUGCAUUAGUUGCCGGCUAUUUCUUGCCUCCUUCCUGGUCAUUUCAUACUUUACUUAUUUUCCCCAACAUGCAUGGCUUCUUCAGAAUCUUCAUGCUUUCUUUAGUAUUUUUGCUUCGUACAUUGUUUAAGCUUGCUUUACCGUUUUCGCUCGCUACAUUUUUGUACUGUAGAUGGUGUUCAUGCAUGUCUUCAUCUUUUGAUUGUUUAAUUUCUUACAUCAAUUCACGUGUGUCGUGGUCUUCAGACUCUUCACUGGAAAUCAGGAACUGCUCCACCAACUCUUACCCAAUCCAAUCUCCAGAGUCCAGACGUCCUCCUCACCCCUUUGUUUCUCCUUUUCCUUUUCUCAAUCAAUCAAUCUUCUUCCUCUGCUCUUUUGCCCCUUUCUUCUUUUCUUCAACACAAGUCAAAUCUCUUCUCUCCAUCUCUCUGUGUUUUGUUUGUCUCUCAAGUCCACUGCUUUCUCCAUUUUAAUUUUGUUUAUGCUGUUCCUGCCCCUUGAUUAAAUUUUCUUUUAUUCUCUAUUAAAUUUUAUUUGCUGUUCCAGACUUCCAGUUCAUCUCAAUCAGACUCUCAGGCAGACAGACACCCAAUUAAAAAGUUUCGAGUUGUUUCACCUAUUUGUUUCAUUGUUCUCCCCUUGUGACCUUGAAUCAAUUUGGUGAAGGUUCAACCUUGCAGUGAGCUUGACAUGGAAAUGAAGUGCAAACUGAUUUCAGAGUAUAUGACAAAGGUUACUUUUUUGUGUUGUAUGAUAACUUGCCUAAGCUUCUUUGGGUGAUCUAAGGUUAGAGUAAAUGGAAUGCAAGAACUCUACUUAUGCUUGUGAUUAUCCUUUUGACAAAUUUCAACUUUAUUUUUGGACGAAGCACUGCAAUGUAUUGGGGAAGAAAGUAAAGUUUUCCAGUUCUACUCUCAACAUUUUUUGUUUGUUGACUAUCUUCUUAUGGAUUGUGCCCUCAGCUUCAUUACAUAGUGGAGCUGAGUUUAGGCCAUAUAUGACUUAAAUGAAUCUGAAAAAAAGAGGUCACUUGCUCGUUUGUAUUAAUUGUCUGAAACUUCUGCAAAAUGUCACUUUAAAAUAAAAAAUUUAUCUUCUGCAAAAUGUCACUUGAGCUAAACUACUUCUUGGAAGGGAUAUAGGGUAUAUCUUUUAGGUUUAUUAAUUCUGUCUGCAAAUUAUUUAGCUGACUGUUCUGUUUUAAUUUGUAGGUAAUGAACAUAUUGAAAAUGCUGUGCCAGUACAUUGUGAUGAUGAGCAAAAGGUUGAUUGAUCAUGAGACAACUUCCAAGGAGCUGCUACAAUUGGGCUGGACUCCAUACUUUGAACAAAUUCUACAUUGGAAGAUUUUGUGAGCAAUAUUGUUCUUUGUUAUAACCAAACCAUGCAAUCUUUAGCAAAAGUCCUUUUUUUUAUAGUAUUAUAGGAGUCUUUUCUUUUGCCUACAGAACUGAGUUUAAAAUUUAUUCAGGCUGGUUUUACUUUAUAUUAUAGGAGGAUAUUCUUGUUCUUGCAAUGGCAAGACUUUUCCUUUGGGAUUGUCCUCAACAUUGUUGGACUUACGGUACUGAUGAACGGUGCAGGUCAUAUUUUAUGUUUCAUAAGAUGGAUGUUCACUAGCCGCAGUUAAUAUUCAAAUACUUACCAAUACUUUCAUUUACAGAGAGUUACGUUUAUCAGGUAAACAAAAUGCAACUCUCUCUCUCUCUCUCUCUCUCUCUCCCCUUAAUAUAUGUGGCUUAUAUUCUGCAUUUUGGUGUGUACAUUAACUUGCAAAUCCAUACAUUGUUGGUCCAUUUACCUGUACAAUAGAUGCUCAGUGACUUCCUUAUGUGUCCUAAAUAAAAUGUUAAGCUUCCUUACAUAGUCCACUACCCCUUUUUAGAAUGGAAUACGGUAAUACCAACAAAUCUUUAUGACAUGAAAAAAAUUCCGUUACUUUUUCCAGUACAUGUGAAUGUGCCUACUGCUUGGUACCUAUAAAUGUGAAAAGUUGUGACAGUAAUUGUUCCAAUUUUUUGCUACUAUAAGUAAUGUGUCAAUUAUGUACCUGAAUAGCAUAGUGAGAGCUGGCAUUAACUUUAAAGUAUGGGGAAGAAAUCUUCUUUAGCGAUGAUAAUAAGCACAUAGGUAUAAUCAUGUGUUGUGUAAAUCAGCAAGUCAAGCUUAACUGAGAAGUUUCUACCUUAAAACAUCAUGCCAACUCUGAUUACAAGGUUUUAGAGGAUGCUUGAUUUUCUUUUCUCAGAUUUUCGGCUAGACAAGGUGGAAGGGCAUGAUAGCAGUCCUUUGGCUCGGUUCAGUUAAUGUCAAGUGUCAACAUGCUGCAAGAUAACAAUUAGUUUUCUCGAUAAAUAACUGAUGCUGUUAAAAAGGAUUUUAAUUCCAUAAUAUGUUUCAUUCAUGCUUCCUAUUAUCUUGAUUUUGAAUUUACAGUUGGAUACUUUGAAUGAGAAGCUACGUCAGUCACCAACUUAUGGAGUUCAGCUUGGAGAAAUAGAAUCCUAUGCAGUAAAACUGCAAUUUAGAAGAUCUUUAUGUCAAGCUAUUUUCAGGAUUUAGGUUUCAUUGUCCUUUUGGCACAGGUCUGCCAAACAGAGGAAAGAAGGGCAAUAAGAUCCUUGAAGAUGUUAGAAGCUGACCCAUUUAAACCACUUCUUAUCCUACUUGAGCAUCAAGGCCUUCUCAUGGAGCGGUCUAUAUCUAUUUCUGUUAUGAUUUUUGUAGUUUCCUUUAUGUUCCCUCCGUGGGUUCUUAAACAGUAUUCUGGAGGUUUUUAGAAUCAUAAAGGUUAUAUUGCCCCCUCCAUUUUUUCAGGAUAAGAGAAGAGCUUUGGUUUGGAGUAGAGUCCUGGAGUCUUGAAAGAAAACUAUAUGUUGUCAUCCCUUGAGUGGAAGUGAGGUAAAAUUAACAAGUGCAUUCUAUAUUUUGACAAAUAAAGUUUUGAGACAUUUUCCUUUCCUUGUUUGACUAAACCAUUGGCAUCAGAUUCUACAUAGUGCAGAUAUCUGUUUAACACAUGCAUAAAUUGGUAAUCUAUUGUAUCUGAUUUCUAAGCCUCCAAUCACUUGUAUAUUGUUUAUUAAUUCCAAGGAUUGUAUUUCGAUUUGGAUCACGGAUUUAACUGGAACUCUCUGUCCUAUUGCAAUGUCCUCUGAAGUCGAAAGGCUAACUCAGUUUUCAACUACUGAGCUCUAAUGUUUGCAAAUAGAAGUAAUUAUCAAUUUUUUUUUUACAAAACAAUUGUUUCCCUCUAUUUUUUCAAAAGCUUAUAUUGCUUUCUCGCUUUAUCCGCACUAGAACAUGGAUAUAGCUCAGCAUCUCCAGACUAUUCUACAUUGAAAGAUGCUUAUAUGCUACAUCAAGCCUUCUACUUCAAAGUCCAGGAUGAUGAAAUGCGUAACUUAUGAAAUAUACCACUUACUACACUACAAAUGAAGCUCUCAACAUUGACAACCUCAACAUUAACAAUCUCAACAUUAAUGAUUGACAAUCUACCUAUUCUGUAUUUUUACUCGAGCCUUCAUGUAUCAACAGUCUGCACUUAUUACUUGUAAUGUUUUUUACUUGUGCCUUUGAUAUGUUAUUCAUUAUAAUUUCCAAUUUUGUCAAUUCCUUGUUUCCAGUUUUUUAUUCGCUUACUCAGCAACACCGGGCAUGCCAGUCUUUGAAAUCUACACCGCGUGGUGAGCACCUCCUAGUAAACUUACUAAAGGCAUAAGAUCAAAUAUUGCACCGGAUGCAUGCCCAUAUUACAAGGUUAUUUUAGACGGAAAUUCAUGCGAAUAUGUGGUUUACUAGUUGACAUCCAUGGUCUCUUGGAUUGAGAAAAGAUUUGGGUUAAAACUUUGAAUAAUAUUUUUCUGAACUUCAACAUACAGAAUUCAUCCAUUUUGUUGAAGUUUGAGGACAAAAACGCAAAUUAUGAUAAAUUAAACUCUAAGUACAAUAUCUAGUAAAAGUUCAGGGACCUAAAAGAUAACUUGUCCUAUUUUGAACUUAAAUCAAUAAGAUAAUUUGCUAUGCAAAUGAUGUCACAUCUCUAAUUGUCUGAUCUGAUGAAUAGCUUUCCAUUAUUUUUGUAUUUUGAUUGUUGCAUCUUACCAAACAUUGUAGGCAUGUAAAGAUACUUUUGUUAGAUAAUAAAGACCAGGACAAUCAUUUACAAGAUUAAUGACAAGACUUCAUAGAUAUAUUAUUAGUUUAAACUCAUGAAAGGUACAAGAUUAAUCAUCUUAGUCGAUUUGGAAGAUCACACAUCUUGAAGAAACCUUGUAAUCUGUCUACGCAGUUACAUUUGCAAAGGAUUCUACAAACUUUUUAACAACAUCACAAAGAAUUUUCAUUUUUGGAAGCUCAUAAAAUUCAAUACCGUGAUAACCUCCUUUAUCAAACUUAGCCACCACUUCCACACCACUCUCUUCCAAGAUUUUGGCAAGUUCAAC